rnacentral:rRNA from 1 species
AGUGGAUGGGGAGCAACCUAGUUGUGCGUGUGUAAAGGUAGUGCCAAGAAAAGCGAUGAUCAUGUUGAAAAUCAAUUCCCGGUACCCGAAACCGACACAGGUGGGCAAGUAGAGAAUACUAAGGGGCGCGAGGUAACUCUCUCCAAGGAACUCGGCAAAAUGACCCCGUAACUUAGGGAGAAGGGGUGCCACCGAGAGGUGGUCGCAGUGAAGAGGCCCAGGCGACUGUUUAGCAAAAACAUAGGUCUCUGCAAACUCGAAAGAGGAGGUAUAGGGGCUGACGCCUGCCCAGUGCCGGAAGGUUAAAGAAGUUGGUCAGUUUUAGGAUGAAGCUAGCGACUGAAGCCCCGGUGAACGGCGGCCGUAACUAUAACGGUCCUAAGGUAGCGAAAUUCCUUGUCGGGUAAGUUCCGACCCGCACGAAAGGCGUAACGAUCUGGGCGCUGUCUCGGAGAGAGGCUCGGCGAAAUAGGAUUGUCUGUGAAGAUACGGACUACCUGCAUUUGGACAGAAAGACCCUAUGAAGCUUUACUAUAGCUUGGAAUUGUGUUCGGGCUUCCUGUGCGCAGGAUAGGUGGGAGGCGUAGAAGGUAUUCUUGUGGGGAUACUGGAGCCAACGGUGAGAUACCACUCUCAGGAGGCUAGAAUUCUAACUUAAUUAAGGACAGUUUCAGGUGGGUAGUUUGACUGGGGCGGUCGCCUCCAAAAAGGUAACGGAGGCGUACAAAGGUUCCCUCAGACUGGUUGGAAAUCAGUCGAAGAGUGCAAAGGCAGAAGGGAGCUUGACUGCGAGAAGUACAGUUCGAGCAGGGUGGAAACACGGUCUUAGUGAUCCGACGGUGCUGUGUGGAAGGGCCGUCGCUCAACGGAUAAAAGUUACUCUAGGAUAACAGGCUGAUCUCCCCCAAGAGUUCACAUCGACGGGGAGGUUUGGCACCUCGAUGUCGGCUCAUCGCAACCUGGGGCGGAAGUACGUCCCAAGGGUUGGGCUUUCGCCCAUUAAAGCGGUACGUGAGCUGGGUUCAGAACGUCGUGAGACAGUUCGGUCCAUAUCCGAUGUAGGCGUGAGAAUAUUGAGAGGAGCCUUCCUUAGUACGAGAGGACCGGGAAGGACGCACCGCUGGUGUACCUGUUAUGAUGCCAAUUGUAAACGCAGGGUAGCCAAGUGCGGAGAGGAUAACCGCUGAAAGCAUCUAAGUGGGAAGCCCACCUCAAGAUGAGUAUUCUGGUGUAAGGUCACGGGAAGACGACCCGUAAAUAGGCACGAGGUGGAAGUGCAGAGAUGUAUGAAGCCGAAGUGUACUAAUAGACCGUCGGCUUGAC